rnacentral:rRNA from 1 species
UACGUAGGGUGCGAGCGUUGUCCGGAAUUAUUGGGCGUAAAGAGCUCGUAGGCGGUCUGUCGCGUCGAUCGUGAAAACUUGGGGCUCAACCCCAAGCUUGCGGUCGAUACGGGCAGGCUAGAGUUCGGUAGGGGAGACUGGAAUUCCUGGUGUAGCGGUGAAAUGCGCAGAUAUCAGGAGGAACACCGGUGGCGAAGGCGGGUCUCUGGGCCGAUACUGACGCUGAGGAGCGAAAGCGUGGGGAGCGAACAGG